rnacentral:rRNA from 1 species
AAACCGCUUAGGGGUUAAGCCCGAUGAACCCGAAUAUCUGAUGUGAGAAAUUCAAUGCCGUAUAUUUUACAUUUAUGUAAUGUGUAUUGUGUGCACUUUUCUCAUAGUAAGACAUUGUAAUCCAUUGAUGUUAUAUCUCUUUAUUGAGAUGAUUUAACAAACGAGCAAAAUGUAUUGGCUUAUUCUAUCAGUGAUGUGUUUUCAUGUCAUAUGAAUAAAAUUCAUUUUGUAUCUGUUUAAAUAGUCGAUGGUUUUGAUUUGGAUCAUGCUGCAAAUUUUUUUGCAUUUCAUAUUAUUAGUUUUUAAUUAGUAAUAGCAGAAAUGGCAUGUAUUUGAUUAACAAUGCGUUAGAUUUGGGAUGCCUUCGGGACCCGUCUUGAAACACGGACCAAGGAGUCUAACAUAUGUGCAAGUCAUUGGGUAUUUUGUUGAAACCUAUUGGCGUAAUUAAAAUAACUAUAUUUUUAAUUUGGGAUUACAAGUAAUGUUUCCAUGUGUGCAUUGCUUUUCCAUCCCGGGGCGUUCUAUACGAACAUGAUGUAAGCAAUUGCGUCCUCUGUUUAAGAGCGUACCUUGAGCACAUAUGCUGU